UACGUAGGGUGCAAGCGUUAAUCGGAAUUACUGGGCGUAAAGCGUGCGCAGGCGGUUUUGUAAGUCUGUCGUGAAAGCCCCGGGCUCAACCUGGGAAUUGCGAUGGAGACUGCGAGGCUUGAAUCUGGCAGAGGGGGGUAGAAUUCCACGUGUAGCAGUGAAAUGCGUAGAGAUGUGGAGAAACACCGAUGGCGAAGGCAGCCCCCUGGGUCAAGAUUGACGCUCAUGCACGAAAGCGUGGGGAGCAAACAGG
rnacentral:rRNA from 1 species